GAGGAGGAGGGGAGCCAGUGGGCAUCAAACACCAAAUAGCUCUCCCACUGACCAGGCCCUGAAGGAAUAGAGCCACCUCUACAGAGUCCCACUUCCUGCCCAUACUAUGGGUAAAGGGGAUGUGGUGGGAAGAAAGAGCAUCCAGGAGUUUCCAGCUCUGGCCUGGAGCAUCUUGCUCAGGAAGAGAGGGAUGCAGGAAAGAAACAGUGCCAGUCUAAGGUCAAGCUGAAAGUGAGGCUCAGGAAAUGAAAUUGGACUCCCUCCAUGGACCCAGUGAGAGCCACCCAUCUUCUAGAAGGGCCAGGAGCAGGCAGGGCUGCAGGGAAGAACAUGCUGCCCACGGGGGCACCGCCCACUGCCUGCCACAGCCCUCAGGCCUCUGAAGGCUGAAAUCCGCUCUAGCUCGACCCCUGCCAAUAAAGGUUUGGGAAGCUGGUGGUGCAGCUUGGGAGACUCGAGACCAAGGAUAGCGUGCUGGUGCUUUGUACAGACGCCACACAUGAAUGUGAGUUCUCGAGUCUCUUUGAGUACCUCAGCUCCUGGGCCUGACUGCCACACCACGAGUCACCGUGAAAGACAGUGGUUUGAGGAGACUCCUCAGAUACUGUGUGAGCCCGGGCACUGCACUGGAAAAGACUGCAUUUGGAGCCCUUCAGAUGCAGAUGUGUGAAGACUUUGGAAGCGACAACUGGGGGACUAUGCGGCUUCUAUUGAUUGGAAAAACACACAGCCCGGGCCCUUUGCAUAUCACAAGUAGCAUUUUUUUUUUCUGGGUUUGAGCAGGUUUGGAAAGUCAGCCGCGGGGCCUCAGCGCCCCCUGUGAGCCGGAGACAGUAUUGCAAAGGAGCAGGGACAGGCAGAGGCUGAGGUGGCUGGCUGGAAGAGGCAGCACCCUGAAGGAUAGGUGAAAGGCAGGUGCACUCACUUGGUUUUCAUCCAUUGGAACGCUUGGGAGAAUCAACUCACCUUCUCUGUUGUCAGCAGCUUAUGGCCACUCAAACCCUUCUGACCAGGACACAUGCCCAACCUCCCAGAACCAAUUAGGAAAAACUGUAAACUUGGGGUACAGUCUUGAGCCUCACGAACAAGCUGUGUGAUUUGAAGGCCGGGAGACUUCUCGAUACACCACCACACCACUCCCACUCCACCUCAUGGUGAGUUCCUAGAUUCACAUGGAGGACAGGGGGGUCUAAGUACCCUGCCUAAUGGAACCAGAGCCCAGGAAUCUACCCUGAGGUCAAGAUCAAAUCCCAGACUCCGCUCCAUGGACCCAACUUCACUGUGCAUCCAGAAAACCAGAGCUGUGCUUCGGAAAUUACCCAAAGCAACUAACUGUCCCAUUGAGGCUGAUUCUCUAACCUGGAUCCCAGAAAGUCACCUUCUCAGUACAAGACAAUGGCCCUAAGGGAAGAGGGUGACAGACCCUGGACUCCAGCAACUCACAUGAAGCAAGUCCUGUCAUGCAAAGAAAACUGAGCAGAAUACUAUCCUAGAGAACGGAUACCGUGAGGGCAGCCUGUGCGCAUGUGGGGCAUAGGAAGGGCACAGGUAUGGAAUCUUUUUAACUGGGGAGACGGGGGCCUAGAGAGGUGAAGUAACUUGUUCAGGUCUAUGUAACCCCCUUCACAUCCCUCUCACAUUAAGCCUCUACUCAAUGGGUCCCUGAUGCAUGGCAUGCUAGGGUGGCUACCAGGGUGGCUACCGGGGUAUCCAGCACCCCCUCUGAGGUCUCCCUUAGGACUAGGGGUAAAGUAACUGGGCUCUUCAGAUCCCAUUUUCCGCCUGUCAUGUGACUUCACAGUUCCUUUCAGAGAGGGGAUAGGACAAGGCUAUCCCAAGGCUUGGUAGCCAGCUCACACCAGACAAUGGAGGUUUGUCACCUCCACCAUCCUUGCCACCCAGCUAAGGAUAUGUGCCCCUCGUCUACUGAGAAAACUCUCUUACUCUAAGAGCUUAGUGGAGACGUGGCAGUUAAUUUACGGGAUAAACGGGACCAGAAGCACGCACCUCCCCAAGCCCUGUCCUUAUUAAAUUGUUGGAGAAC
rnacentral:lncRNA from 1 species